UCGCGCCAGACAUUCCACAAUCCUCAUCCAGCCUACAUCGGCAAUCUUACGUAGAUCGUCGGUCCAAUGGACCGGUGGACGUCCCACAUUGCGUUUGCCAAAACGCGG